rnacentral:lncRNA from 1 species
CCAACCAAUCUAUAUUACAGACAAGCAAGUGAUGAAGGGGUAACUUUUUUAGGUCAGGGAAGCUCGUACCCCCUAGGAAACAACAGUGCCCUUGAGAUGGUGCAUCGAGUCAACGUUGGUGGGAUGCAAAUAUCCCCUCAAGAUGACACUGGCAUGUACCGAAACUGGUUAAGCGAUGACGAUUAUUUGGCAAUAGCAAAACCAAGUGCUCUUCCUGUCAAUAAUAGUGUUAAUCUUACCUUUAGCAGUAUAUUAUCGUUCUCUGCUCCAAGGGUGGUCUAUCUAACUGCCAGGUCCAUGGGGAGGAACAAGACUGAGAACGAGAACUACAAUCUGACAUGGGAGUUUCCUGUUGAUUCUGGC